CAACCCCCAAGCCCCGCUUGGUGUUGGGGUCCUACGGCUGCCGUAGGCCCUGAAAGCUAGUGGCGGGCUCGCUAUAACUCCGAGCGUAGUAGUAACAUAUCUCGCUAGGGAGUCGUCGCGGGUUCCGGCCAUGAAAGCCCCAUCUUUUACACAA
rnacentral:misc_RNA from 1 species